UAAAUAUUUGUAUAAAAAUAGACAAAGCAUAAAUUGUGCAAGAAUGAUUAGACAUUACAAGAACAAAAAGCGUAUAAGAUAUUAAAUAUGUUAACUGAAUCAUAGUGAGAACUUGUAAAAUUGUAUAAGGUAUAUUAUACCCCAAAAAAGAAAACGAAAAAUAGAAGACGUAAUAUACCUAACGCAGACAUGAUAAAGAAGCUGACGAAUAAUACAUAAGAAAUUGUCCUCUCCAUUUCUGAUAAAAUGAGGAAAAGUGUUGUGCUAUUCCGUUAACAAAGGCUAAGUAUUUAUACAGCAGUCAUGAGAUUCACAAUUAAUACAGAGAAUCAUGAUGUGUAUAUAUACUAAUUAUGUCAGUAACUAUGGUGUAUAUUCGGCUUUAAUUGGUGAUCUGAUUAGAGGAAAUAUAAGGAAAACGUGAUGCUUCUCUAAAUAUACACUAUUUAAGAAGAAUUAAUACUUUCUUGGCGCUCACUUUCCACAGAUAACCAUUGUAUCUAAACCGGUUUAAUCAAUGUUUCGAGGUAACGACAUCGUUUUUGAUGCUCACGUUACUUUCUUGGCGCUUACGUCACAUCCCAUAUAUCAUAUAACCAUCGAAUACUGAGAACUAAUAAAAAAUGUGAUUUUUGUAGUAAAGUUGUUAGAUUGUAUAAGGUAUACGGGAACUAGAAACACUCUUGCUUUUGGGAUCGGUCUCUACAAGUGGCGAAUAUACUCGCUGAGGUUUAGGAGCAGAAGAGCAUAGAAACAACAUCAAAAUCGAACCGUGUCUUUUUUUGUACUAGAGAGCUUUUGUCUGGAUCCCAAAGUUGUUGUGUUCAUGUCGUGAACAUAUUUCUGUCUCUGCAGAGCAUGAUCAAUAUGCUAAAGCAAGACACAAUAUGCUAAAGUUUUUGUGGUUUGCUCCGUAGCCUAACCUUAUUGGCCAGCUUCAUCUUCAUCCUCUGUUCCAGGAGAAGCUUCUCUUUAGCUUCUUUUGAUUCCAGUGGGUUUCUUGGGACAGCAGCGACAACAGUCUUAGGUGGUUCCUCAUUGCUCUUGGGCUCAGCUCCGUCUACUCUAGAAGCAGCUGCCUUCACAAUUGUUGAUCUUCCAUUCCUUUUUCUCAAGUUGUAAGCACUGAGUGAGACUCUGUUCUUUGACUCGAUGGUUUUGGGAUUAAGGAUGAAACUGAAACCCAUGUGAAGAAAAAAAAGAAAGAAAAAAGAUCAGAGCUUUCACACCAAGUAAAAAGCUAAGAAAUUAAUGUGUUCCAUAAAAUGUCUUGAUGAGCUUAUGUUUACUAUUAGAUAUAGAAAAGUGUACAUAAUACACGUGUACAUACAUGUAUAUAUAUACUCACAUGUACAUUCAUUCAUUAAUUAAUGAGAGAUAUACUUUAAGUUUGUUACACUCUUGAUAUUUACUUAUGAGCUUUUAGCCAUCCACUACCACCUAAUCUGCAUCAACCAGGCAGGAUUAUUUCAGCUUAUAUCCACCUAUUAUUGUUGAUUCAGUGGCAAGCCUGAUCAUGAUAGCUUCAGUUUUCGCCUUCAGAAGCUGGGGUAAGGUAACAACAGGGACGCAACCGUCAAGAAGAUAAGUGUCAAUGAAGGCGCGGCAUCGAUUGGUUUUUGGUUUAUUAAGAACUAUCGAACUUGCGGAGAAAUUCAAACCUUGGAGUGAGAUUCAAGAUAGAGCAAAGAUCGGACCAAAUAGGUGUGAAGUCUUACCUCUCUUGGUCGUGAGAAAGAAAAAGAAUAGUAUUAGCCUAGUGGUUUUCAGACUGAUCAAACUUCAGAGUACGAACCAGGGACAAGCCUAUGGAGCAUCCAGCGAUGCAGUACAUAUAAAGAAAUACAUUUUUACUUUAAUUUAAUAGAGUCUCAUUCACACACAUAGCUUUGAGAUCAAUACCCAAAUCGAACCAGCUUAUCCCAAACCAAUUUGGUUUUGAUUCAGACUCGAUUAUAUCUUAGGUUCAAUUUGAAAAUAGUUUUAUUAAACAAAUUCGAUGAUACCGUCAAUCAACUCCAAUCCAAGUUAAAUAAGUAUAGAAUAUAAUAUAACUUAAUAAAUUAUAAAAUAAUAUUAAAAAACUUUUAUAUAAAUAAAUAGUUUUAUUCAUCAUGAAUUAAAAGACUAUAUAAAAUUUUAUAUAAACAGAAACAAAGCAAUUUAUUUGUUAUUUUACUAUAAAAUGAUUUCAUCUAUAAUUUUAUUUUACAUUUUAACAUUUUGUGUUAUUUUAUUGAAUUACAUAUAAAAAUUUAGUAUUCUAUCAUAUCGAUUCAGCACACACAAAAUAUAUCAAAUCCUAAUAAAAUACCUAAAUUCAAAUUUAUAAAAUUUAACUAAUAUAUAAUAUUGUGAAUAAAAUAUGUUUCAAUCCUGUAAAUAACAAAAAAAAAAAUAUUCAAACAAUCUUAAGGGAUUAUUUGUAUAAUUAAAAUUUUGAAUAUAUAAAUUAUCAUAAUCUAAACAUUAUUGUAAUUUCCAAAUACACUUACAAACAAACUUGUAUCUUUUUGUAGACAAAUCUGCGCGAAGUGCAGACUUGCCCUAGUCUUUAUAUAUAAAGAGUACAAUUGCUUCUGUCACAGCCUUCCACAUCAGCCUCCACAUAUGAAAGUCGUGCGUCCUGAAGCCGCCACGGGUCCAUCCACACAAAACGCGCCGUUUCAUUUAUUCUUCAGCAUAGUGGGCUUUCUUUGGGUGUUCUGUAUCUAGGCUUUGGACUGUCGAGUUUAGUUCCGUAUCCGCCCCGAGAGAACAGAAGACGCCACUAACCCUAAUCAGUAGGCAUGGGCGUUCGGGUACCCGUUCGGGUUUCUUGGAUUUCGGUUCCAUUUUGUAACACCUCCUAGGUCCCAUUCUAGUAAAUUUACAGGUACAGAUCGGAUUCGGAUAUAACACUUCGGUUUUGGAUCGGUUCGGAUAUAUCCGAAGUAACCACAUAUCAUUCGGAUUCGGCUUAUAUCGGAUCGGUUCGGAUAUAUACAAAGUAAAAUCUAAAAUUUAAAAGUAUAACAUAAGAAAUAUAUUUUUCUUUGCAUAUAAUAGAGUAUUUAAGGUAUUUAUUUAAUUUUUCAAUACUUAUUGUUAUAUAUCAUAUCCAAAUAAAUAUGAAAUUAAAUAUUUGAAGUACAUAUUUAUAUCAAAUAUUUAUAUUAUGUAUUAAUUUGAACAUUCGGAUUGGUUUCCUCGGAUAUUUUUUCGGGUUUUCGUGCUUUUCAGAUUUUCGGGUUGCCCGUUCGGGUUCGGUUAAUAACACUCCGGGUUCGGAUAUGUUUAGUAACACCCUAUAAGAUCCAUUGAAGUAUUUUUUACAUUUCGGAUCGGGUACGGAUAGGUUUUUUCGGUUCGGAUUCGGAUUGGAUUUCGGGUUUCGGAUUUUAUGCCCAGCCCUACUAAUCAGCUUCAGACAAGAAACGAAGGUUGUAUCUCUGCAUCCUUCGACGGCGACUCGAUGUCGUGUCCUCUUUCUAUCACCAUCUGAAACAGUCCGAGUUAAGAGUUCGUGUUUAAUCCCAUCGAUUCGCUCUCCCACGAUGUGUAUUCAAAGCAUUCUUCGAGCUGAGAGGCGGUGUGGUUUUUGUAUAAAUAUAUGGUUUUUUCUCUGAUCUGAAGUCCGGCAAGUGUACCUCCGUCAUCGAGGCUAGGCUCCUGCGGUUCUGGGAGGCCAGGAACAUUAAAUGCGGUGGGGAACUCAUGUGGGUUGAUAUGCUCCUGGUGGAUGUUAACGCUACCAUGAUGCAAGCCACCAUCAAUGCUAGCGGGCUUCCGAGAUUUCGGUCUAGGCUCGCCGCCGGGACGAUGUUCUCCGUCUCCGGAUUUGAUGUGUCUGGUGUGCCCAGAAUUUCCUCCUUUCUUCACUAUCACCACGAGUAGAAAGAUGACCAUCAUGAAGGCUUGAGUCAUCUGUAAUUUUUUCCUCAAGAUCUAAAAAACAAGAUUGAAGAAUCUAAGUUAUAAAGAAGCUUUGCAAUUUGGUAUUUGAGUUUUUUUAUAAAUCUACAAUAAUGAUUUUGAGAUUGAUUCUUCUCCUGUUUCAUUACAUCUCAGUGUUUGCUAUCUGAGUGUUUUUUUACGCUCAAGCCAACCAUCUUAACCAGAAGUUAUUGGCCUUGGAUGUGGAGCCUGAGGUGAUGCCGCUACCAGUAAUAACCUCAAGUUCAUGGGAGGUAACCUUUCAUUGAUCUCCUACAACUUGCAGGCUGGAUUUUCCUAAAUGCAAUUUCUGGCACACAUAUAUACUUACUAUGACAAAGAAACAAGUGACAGUGACACCUUCAUAGCCAGCUUUGGUAAUGGUGACUUAGCCUCUUCCCAGCGCCGGUCAAUAUGUUUCAUGGGCCCUACUCAAAAUUUGGACUUUAGCUGUGUAAAAAAAUUGAUGAAACAGUACCUUAAAGGAAAAACGAGAAUUAUGUAUGGGCCCGUAAGCGGCAGCUUAUACUGCUUCCGCAGCGGGCUAUGCCUGCCUCUUCCACAAGUUCGAUGAAAUAUGGUGGUGCUGAUAAAAUAGAAACAGUAACAGUGUCAGAGCUCAACACCUAUGUUCUCAACUCUACACCUCAGAUCCAUUGCCUAUAUCUUUCCUAAUGCUUAUUGUUUUCACAUUCAUUCAUUGUAGUGUUCUACUUCAGGUUGUAGUGUUCUUUAUUCCUUAAAAAGGAAUUUUUUAUUAGAUCUGUCGUUAUGCA